rnacentral:rRNA from 1 species
GACGAACGCUGGCGGCGUGCUUAACACAUGCAAGUCGUACGGUAAGGCCCUUUCGGGGGUACACGAGUGGCGAACGGGUGAGUAACACGUGAGUAACCUGCCCACAACUUUGGGAUAACGCUAGGAAACUGGUGCUAAUACUGGAUAUGUGCUCCUGCUGCAUGGUGGGGGUUGGAAAGCUCCGGCGGUUGUGGAUGGACUCGCGGCCUAUCAGCUUGUUGGUGGGGUAGUGGCCUACCAAGGCGGCGUCGGGUAGCCGGCCUGAGAGGGUGACCGGCCACAUUGGGACUGAGAUACGGCCCAGACACCUACGGGAGGCAGCAGUGGGGAAUAUUGCACAAUGGGCGCAAGCCGGAUGCAGCAGGGCCGCGUGCGGGAUGACUGCCUUCGGGUUGAAAACCGCUUUCAGCAGGGACGAAGCUUUUUGUGACGGUACCUGCAGAAGAAGCACCGGCUAACUACGUG